GCGGGGGGUCACCUGGUAGCGGUAGGCCUCGCUGCACAAGUCCUGCGGGAUCAGCUGCACGUCCACCUUCUGCAGACCGUUGCUGGUGGGGCCUGCCCGGCGGUGUCGGGGGCAGAGCGUCUCCCCACUGUCCAGCCAGCACUUCUCCCGAGGAGCUUCAAUCAACACUGUGCCUAGUUCCACCCGGAGAUCCGGUCUGUUCGGCUGGGCUGGGCCCAGACAUCUGUGCUUUUUCUCAAAGCCCUGAUGCUUCGAGCAGGUCAGGAGGAGGACUCCUGGCUCCGGAUCCGCACCCAGAUCCACCGGCUCCCCUCUGGUGCUGGGUGUCCUCAGGGCUCCCUGGGUUGCCACCUGUGCUCUUAUCAGAAAUGCCUUUCCCCUUCGCUGGGACACUGCUGACCUGUCCUCCAAGCCUGAGCUCAGCCCACCCUUCCUCCGGGCUGCCACUGCCCCCCGUACCUCCCCAUCCGUGUCAGCUCCCCAAAGCAUGUUUCCUGUUUAUCUUUAUAUUCCCUUUGUCCAACUCGAUGCCUGGCAUAUAGCAGGUGCUCAUAAAUGUGUCAUUGAAUGAA